GCUGCGGGACGGCAUCCUACACUUCCUAUUGGUGCUAUAAGAGUUGGAUCUUUUGACAUCAGGACUGUUUAUACAAUUAAAGAUCUUGAGAGAGAAGAAAUGACCAAGAAGGCAUCUGCUGAGACAAGACAGCGUGCUUCGUAAAUCGGGGCCAGAGUGUUCGAAAAGGCACAGAGUCUCUGAUUGAAAGACCCAUCCCUAUCCCAAACGAGCACCAGCUAUCGCAAAGUCUUUCCGAUUAGUUCAACUCUGAAGAAAAGAUGGUUCAUAUCCACCUCUACUGAACCAUGACAGAAUAAAAGUAAAAUUGUAA